CAGUCGCCGCGGGAAUACGUAGGUGGCGAGCGUUGUCCGGAAUCAUUGGGCGUAAAGGGAGCGCAGGCGGGCAUGUAAAUCUUUCUUAAAAGUGCGGGGCUCAACCCCGUGAUGGGAAAGAAACCACAUGUCUUGAGUACAGGAGAGGAGAGCGGAAUUCCCAGUGUAGCGGUGAAAAUGCGUAGAUAUUGGGAGGAACACCAGUGGCGAAGGCGACUCUCUGGUCUGUAACUGACGCUGAGGAGCGAAAGCGUGGGGAGCGAACAGGAUUAGAUACCCCCGUAGUCCCUGUCUCUUAUAC
rnacentral:rRNA from 1 species